rnacentral:RNase_P_RNA from 1 species
GCAGCAGGCCUUUCUAUCGCUAUUCCAGCACUCUGGAAGAGAGGAAAGUCCGGGCAAUGCAGAGCACCAUACUUCUUAACAGGAAGAUCUCUGUGAGGGGAUAGUAAUGUAACAGAAAAUAACCGUCCGCCUAUGGCGUGAUAAGGGUGAAAAGGUGAGGUAAGAGCUCACCGGUAUUCCGCGUAAUCGGAGUAGCCGUACAUCUUAUGGAUUGAAAGAUCAAAUAUAUUUAGGUUUUACUAACAAAAGCGAGUCUUUUAAAAGUAUAUCAGUUGCUCGGCUGAUUGUUUUAAUAAACAGCCAAAAGGGGUAGAUCGAUAGAGCCACUAAGCAAUUUUUGGCCUUGAUAAAUGAUAGAAAUUCCGAUUUAUCGGGAUACAGAACCCGGCUUACAAGCCUGCUGCUUUU